UCGAGUUGUUUGGGAAUGCAGCUCUAAAUGGGUGGUAAAUUUCAUCUAAAGCUAAAUAUUGGCCGGAGACCGAUAGCGCACAAGUAGAGUGAUCGAAAGAUGAAAAGCACUUUGAAAAGAGAGUUAAAAAGCACGUGAAAUUGUUGAAAGGGAAGCGCUUGCAGCCAGACUUG
rnacentral:rRNA from 1 species